UGUUGUCUCGGGUCAAUCCCCGGAAAUUAUUACCCGUUGAAAAUUUCACCGGAGACCGGCAUGGAGUCAAAAGGUAGAGAAAGAAAGAGAGAAGAGAGAGAGUGGACUGGGAACAGCCAGAAACUGAAAAAAUGGUAAAAAGAGAAGAAGAAGAAGAAGAAAGGUAGGGUUGGGUAAUAUAAACAAGUGAAGAAGCCAAACAAGAGACAA